CGUUUGGGUUUCGUUGCGCUUUGAUGGUGCUUAAAUAAACUCAGUAGUUCUAAACCUGCGAAUGCCUCCUGCCUACUCCUCUCUACACCAGUGACACCAACAUGCACUUCCAACCCUUGGUUCUGAACAAGGUGAAGGCCUUCCCAGUGAACACCACCGCAUAAGAUUGCCUGCUGUAGUUCUUCGAGAGAUGUCCAGUUUGCAGCCGAACAUGCAGCAAAGAGAAGACCAGCAAGGGGGCCCUCAUCUGUGACUGUGAGAAUUCCUAUCAAUGGAACAGUCAGCCACAUGUUGGCAAGUAUCUGGCCAGCAACCUUCACCUGUCAGCAGCAAACAUUUUCACAGGCUCAUCAUUUGUAAAUACAGAAGAAAAAUGGAUGGAGCCAACACAUGAAGACUUGCAAGAUGAUGUGAUAAAGUCAAGACGGACAGACGGGCAUGAUACUGAUGUCACUGAAUGGAGAGAGGGACUGGCACUCGGCAUGAACAUAUUACCAGACAACUUUUACUUGUAUUGUUUUUUUAUUUAUUAUUGAAUUGAAUGGUAUCAGACAAUAUUGGAAAGAAGUAAUCCUGUGUAUUCUGCACAAGGACCAGGGAAAUCCUGUUGUAUACGGGACACCACACAGGAAGGUAUGACCAUCUGGCAUGUUUUCCAAGGUAGCCCCAUUACCACGAGACAAAAUGCAGAUAGGCACAGUAUCUG
rnacentral:lncRNA from 1 species